rnacentral:rRNA from 1 species
ACGGGUGAGUAACACGUGGGAACGUGCCCUUCGGUUCGGAAUAACUCAGGGAAACUUGAGCUAAUACCGGAUGCGCCCUUAUGGGGAAAGGUUUACUGCCGAAGGAUCGGCCCGCGUCUGAUUAGCUUGUUGGUGGGGUAACGGCCUACCAAGGCGACGAUCAGUAGCUGGUCUGAGAGGAUGAUCAGCCACACUGGGACUGAGACACGGCCCAGACUCCUACGGGAGGCAGCAGUGGGGAAUAUUGGACAAUGGGCGCAAGCCUGAUCCAGCCAUGCCGCGUGAGUGAUGAAGGCCUUAGGGUUGUAAAGCUCUUUUGUCCGGGACGAUAAUGACGGUACCGGAAGAAUAAGCCCCGGCUAACUUCGUGCCAGCAGCCGCGGUAAUACGAAGGGGGCUAGCGUUGCUCGGAAUCACUGGGCGUAAAGGGCGCGUAUGCGGCCGAUUAAGUCGGGGGUGAAAGCCUGUGGCUCAACCGCAGAAUUGCCUUCGAUACUGGUUGGCUUGAGACCGGAAGAGGACAGCGGAACUGCGAGUGUAGAGGUGAAAUUCGUAGA